GACGAACGCUGGCGGCGUGCUUAACACAUGCAAGUCGAGCGGUAAGGCCCUUUCGGGGGUACGACGAGCGGCGAACGGGUGAGUAACACGUGGGUGACCUGCCCUCAGCUCUGGGAUAAGCCUGGGAAACCGGGUCUAAUACUGGAUAUGACUCCAUGACGCAUGUUGUGGGGUGGAAAGCCUUGUGCGGCUGAGGAUGGGCCCGCGGCCUAUCAGCUUGUUGGUGGGGUGANGGCCUACCAAGGCGACGACGGGUAGCCGGCCUGAGAGGGCGACCGGCCACACUGGGACUGAGACACGGCCCAGACUCCUACGGGAGGCAGCAGUGGGGAAUCUUGCGCAAUGGGCGAAAGCCUGACGCAGCGACGCCG
rnacentral:rRNA from 1 species